GAUUCCCGCAAUAACUUGUCACUAAUCAUAGUUAAAAUGUUCUACAUUCAAUAUUAUCAAGAUCUUGAAACAUGAUUUCCAAACCAAAAUAUGAACAAAGUGCUUAAACAAAAAAAAAAUGUGGUUUCAUUAGUUUAAAUCAAUCUUAGAUCUAGGUCCACAUUUUCAUAAUUGGAUCUAGGACUACUGGUCUACUGUACAUUUUUAAUGUUAGUCGUAGGCCUACUUAAGAGAAUGACGUGUUUAGAUCUAGAUCUAAGUUUAGGUCUCGUCCCACUCAUCUAAAAACGGCCAGAUCCAGAUCUCCUACAGAUAACUAGAUCUAGUUAAAUGAAGUUAAUCUAUUUUGAAGAUAUGACUUACAAAUAUUGAUAUUUCAUGAAGUGAAAAAAAAAUGGAUUAAGAGGUUUUAUCAAACUUGAAUAUGUAGCCUAAUUGCUUUUGUUGCUUCUAUUUUGUCUUCUGGAAAGUGUGAUUUAUAUUUACAAAAAUAUAUUGCUGACUUUUUUAUUUUAUAAAUUACAAUGUCAACACAUCUCAGGGUAGUGCCUUUACUUAUGGCAUGCUUUCUUGGAGACAUAGUUUCACAAAAAGUGUCAUGGCUUCCAAGAACAAGCAAAAAUUGCCUACGUCAUGGUUUGGAUAGUAUAACAGAAAAAGUUAAAAUUACUCGUAAAGAAAACAAAUAUGAAACAUUAAAUUUCAUUGCCAAAGGAGCCUCUUUUGAAUUUCUGUCAUCGCCAUUAUGUGAACUGUCAAAUUUGCAUACAGCAUAUAUGCCUUGUGGCAGGAAUAUAUCAUCAAUAUGUUAUUGCGAAAGUUCAACUGAAGAAGAAAUUAUUAUUGUUCUAAAUAUGACAGCAGAUGUGAAAUACAGCAAACAAAAUAUUAGCGUGACAGUUCCUUGUAUUCACAAAGAAAAAUCUACCAGGAAACAACGUGAAUUACAAACUAUAAUAACGUACAAGUAUGUUUUCAAACUGAAUGGUCAGGUAGUGCAGGACUUAUCAUCUGUUCUAUACCAUCACGGUCCUUUUCACAUAGAGUUAUGUUGUAUUCAAGAAAUAGCUGAUUUUCCCUGCACAUCGACAAUUAGCUAUCACACAAAAAACGUGUCUGAAACACCUUGUGUUUCAAUAAUAGAGAAUCCUUCGAAAGUAACAAAUUAUACUCUUUCAAUUGAAGUCUGUGACAAAAUUCAAAUCAUUAGAAAUGCAACAAUUCAUCCAUUAUCAGACAGAUAACUCAAAUAACAACACGGAUUAUCCUUGGCUGAUGUCUGCCAUUAUCUCUGUUGCUGUAAUUUGUGCUUGGCACUUUUGUUUAUGGCUAAAUAAGAAGUGUUCACUUCUAAAUAAGGUUCAAAAUAGUGACACAUCACAACCUUUACUCAAAGAAAAACCGGAGCCAACUGUAUAAAAGAGACGAUUUAGACAAAGAGAUGUCAACUUUCUCGUCUUAUUAAAAUAUAAAUGAAUCAUUUAUUUUGAUAACGUUUCAUUCUCAUAUCGAACUGAAGUUUUGAUUGACAACAAGCACUUAUAUUGUAAUUUUUUUUUUAUUAUUGAGUACCAGUAGUAUACCUUUUGCGCCCCCAUGCAAAUGUAAAACACAAUUUUUAACAUAAAGUAUGAGGGUUUUUGUUUUUUUUUUGUUUAAUUAACCCAAACUUAAGGAGUACAGCUGCCUGGUCGUGUGAUAUGUGCCCAGGACUGUUGCUUGGUGGUCACGGUGGAUCCGCGGUUCAAAUCUUUACAGCUGACCCCCCUUCUUCCCCCCCCCCUCCCGUGUUCCUGCAGUAGGUUUGGACUAGGUGUAGUUAUCUUGAUAUCUGAAGAACAUUCGAAACAUGUAAAACAUGUUAUAAAAGAACAAAAAUGAUUUUUUUUAAUUUAGAUUUAUUUAACCCUUUAAAGAUGAUGAAUUUUUAAAACACAUCUGCUUAUUCGUUCCUGACAAUCUGGUAAUGCCAAUUAACAGCACUGUUGUGCAAUUUGUACUGUCCGGAGACUUCAUAACUACGACUCUGUGUGUGACAAGAGGGACAAUAAGGAUAGCUACUUUUGUUUUCAAUAAGAGUUAGUCCCCUUUAAUGCCUGUUAACUGUUUACAAUUGCCACUCUCUCUUGAGUCUUUGAGCUGACCAGUGUAGUUUGAACUAAAUCUCUAUAAUGUUUAACUAAUACUUGUGUUGUUGUUCUAUUACUGUGAUACUCAAGAGCUAAGUAAUGAGCCAAGUAGACUUUAUUUAUUUGUUAGUAAUAAUUUGGCUUAUGUAAAUAUUUAUGUGUCUGCUUAGUCUUUUAUCCUCUCCUAUAUGUUUUUUUUAACUGUUUACAAUUGCCACUCUCUCUUGAGUCUUUGAGCUGACCAGUGUAGUUUGAACUAAAUCUCUAUAAUGUUUAACUAAUACUUGUGUUGUUGUUCUAUUACUGUGAUACUCAAGAGCUAAGUAAAGAGCUAAGUAGACUUUAUUUAUUUGUUAGUAAUAAUUUGGCUUAUGUAAAUAUUAUGUGUCUGCUUAGUCUUUUAUCCUCUCCUGUAUGUUUUUUUUAACUGUUUUCAAUUGCCACUCUCUCUUGAGUCUUUGAGCUGACCAGUGUAGUUUGAACUAAAUCUCUAUAAUGUUUAACUAAUACUUGUGUUGUUGUUCUAUUACUGUGAUACUCAAGAGCUAAGUAAUGAGCUAAGUAGACUUUAUUUAUUUGUUAGUAAUAAUUUGGCUUAUGUAAAUAUUAUGUGUCUGCUUAGUCUUUUAUCCUCUCCUGUAUGUUUUUUUUAAAGACAUCUUUUGUUUUGAUACGAGACAGUAUUGGUCUCAUGGAUGAUCUCAUUUCAUUGUUAAUGCUUAUAUGAUAUUAUUGUAAACAAUCUUUUUGGUUUUUGACAUAAGACAUUAUUGUGCCUCUGGGAAUUUCCUUAUCAAGAUGAAAAGUUUGUAUUUAACCCCUUAAGUUGAAAAUAAUAAAUGCGUUAAUAUAAAAAAUAUGUUUUGCUUAGUUUUUUUCUUUUCGCGGUGGCAUUUCAAUGAAUUGUUAAUAUCAAAACGGUAGGCCUAUAAGGAAUCUAUAAAGGUGUUGCCAUAAAGGUGAGAACAAUCGUACCAGAGCGAAAUAUAUGUCAAGCUUUAGAAAAAAACAUGUUAUAAUUUUGUUCAUGACAAUUAUAAUUGGUAAUAUGGCUUGUCUUCGUGUCCUGAGAUUAAGGAGGAGUGCAGUAUUUCACGUGGCUACCCAGUCCUAUUUGCGAUGUAGGCCUACAUAUAUUAACACAUCCAGCGCAGGCAAAACCAAUGUCCACCGGUCGUCUAUGUAUGUUCUCUUUUCGCCUUAUACGUCUCUUCUUGGCAGUAUAUUUUCUUUUGGUCUCAACUGUGUAAAAAAAAAUCUCCAGCUGUUUCGUUCACAGGCUGCCUGUUGCCAGGUGCUCUUCUAUGUGAGUUAAGUAAGGUUUCGCCUAAGCUGGUUUUAAAGCUUACCAAAAAGAUGGCCUUUGGCAUCAGGUCAUCUCACAUACUGUAUAUGUGCCUGCCCAGCGUAGCUGUCUAUAAUCAAUAUCUCUAAAGUCUUUUUUGAUCUAGUGACACCUUUAUAUAUUCAAAACUUGCCAAGGACCCCUAAUAGGAAACGCUACAUAAAAGCAUAUUAUACAUGUCACAAAUGUAAAAAAGAAAUAUUUGAAUGAGUGUUUAUUGAGAUUAUAACUUUUUGUUUAAAAUAAAAUUUAUAAAUA